rnacentral:rRNA from 1 species
AGGACUAACGCUGGCGGCGUGCCUAACACAUGCAAGUCGAACGAGGGGUAGCAAUACCCCUAGUGGCAGACGGGUGAGUAACACGUAGUCAACCUACCUCUUAAUGGGGGAUAACUAGCCGAAAGGUUAGCUAAUACCGCAUACGAUCGUCGAGUGGCAUCACGCGACGAUGAAAGGAGCAAUCCGUUGAGAGAGGGGACUGCGUCCCAUUAGUUAGUUGGUGGGGUAAUGGCCUACCAAGACUCCGAUGGGUAGCUGGCUUGAGAGAGCGACCAGCCACACUGGAACUGAGACACGGUCCAGACUCCUACGGGAGGCAGCAGUGAGGAAUUUUCCGCAAUGGGGGAAACCCUGACGGAGCGACGCCGCGUGUGGGAAGAAGGCCUUCGGGUCGUAAACCGACUGUCGAGGGGGACGAUAUUGACGGUACCCUGGAGGAAGCCCGGCUAACUACGCGCCAGCAGCCGC